rnacentral:rRNA from 1 species
AUUGAACGCUGGCGGCAGGCCUAACACAUGCAAGUCGAACGGUAACAGGAAGAAGCUUGCUUCUUUGCUGACGAGUGGCGGACGGGUGAGUAAUGUCUGGGAAACUUCCUGAUGGAGGGGGAUAACUACUGGAAACGGUAGCUAAUACCGCAUAACGUCGCAAGACCAAAGAGGGGGACCUUCGGGCCUCUUGCCAUCGGAUGUGCCCAGAGGGGAUUAGCUAGUAGGUGGGGUAACGGCUCACCUAGGCGACGAUCCCUAGCUGGUCUGAGAGGAUGACCAGCCACACUGGAACUGAGACACGGUCCAGACUCCUACGGGAGGCAGCAGUAGGGAAUAUUGCACAAUGGGCGCAAGCCUGAUGCAGCCAUGCCGCGUGUAUGAAGAAGGCCUUCGGGUUGUAAAGUACUUUCAGCGGGGAGGAAGGGAGUAAAGUUAAUACCUUCGCUCAUUGACGUUACCCGAAGAAGAAGCACCGGCUAACUCCGUG